ensembl:misc_RNA Metazoa_SRP Metazoan signal recognition particle RNA
GCUGGACAUGGUGGCGCAAGCCUGUAGUCCCAGCGACUUGGGAGGCUGAGACAGGAGGAUUGCUUGAGUCCAGGAGUUCUGGACUGUAGUGUACUAUGCUGAUCAGGUGUCUACACUAAGUUCAGCAUCAACAUGGUGACCUGCUGGGAGCAGAGGGCCACCAGAUUGCCUAAACUCCUUCUGGCCCAGGUCAGAAAUGGAGCAGGUCAAAACUCCCAGGCUGAUCAGUAGUGGGAUCAUCCCUGUGAAUAGCCCUUCUACUCCAGCCGGGGCAACAUAGUGAGACUUUGUUU